rnacentral:lncRNA from 1 species
CCCAUCACGCUAGUAAAAUGCCACAAGGGCAACAGUAUAGGCCAUGAGAAAUUUACCUAAUAAAGGGUUUCCAUCAACAGUAUCACAUCGCAUGGUUCAAAUAAUCAUAGUAUAAACAAUACAACUGGAAAGACAGUGAAAAGGUAUGUUAUAGCACUUAUUCUUUUACAAAAAUUUUAUACAUAAAAGUAGUAUUAGAUUGCUAAUAACAACGAUAAAGUUAUAUUUCUUGUAGAUGGAGGCAUCAAGUGUGCAAUAGAAAAAUCUUGAGGGUUAUCAAAUCUAGGCCUAUACUAUCAUGGGUCAACCCUGGAUUACUAUAAAGAUCAAAUUCAACAGAAAAGCAAUGUUCAUGUGGAUGAAGGCC